rnacentral:rRNA from 2 species
CUCCCACCCGUGUUGCCCGAACCUAUGUUGCCUCGGCGGGCCCCGCGCCCGCCGACGGCCCCCCUGAACGCUGUCUGAAGUUGCAGUCUGAGACCUAUAACGAAAUUAGUUAAAACUUUCAACAACGGAUCUCUUGGUUCCGGCAUCGAUGAAGAACGCAGCGAAAUGCGAUAACUAAUGUGAAUUGCAGAAUUCAGUGAAUCAUCGAGUCUUUGAACGCACAUUGCGCCCUCUGGUAUUCCGGAGGGCAUGCCUGUCCGAGCGUCAUUGCUGCCCUCAAGCCCGGCUUGUGUGUUGGGCCCCGUCCCCCCCGCCGGGGGGACGGGCCCGAAAGGCAGCGGCGGCACCGCGUCCGGUCCUCGAGCGUAUGGGGCUUCGUCACCCGCUCUAGUAGGCCCGGCCGGCGCCAGCCGACCCCCAACCUUUAAUUAUCUCAGGUUGACCUCGGAUCAGGUAGGGAUACCCGCUGAACUUAAGCAUA